GCACCCGCGGAGGCCGGCCGGUCUAAUCCCGGGAGAGAGCGCAACACCCCAGGCAACCACCACAAAGGGCGGCCUUCCUGGGACCGCCGCCUGGCGGCUGGCGAGCGAACUGUGGCCUCGGAAAGGUGGACCUAAGGGCCGCGGGUGAGGGGGCAGAUGUGGGUGGGUGCCCAACCUUCAGGGCAAGUCAGCCGACUUCCCUCCGCUCUGCCGGAGCUCCAGCCCCAGCAGAGCCCUCAGCCACCCCGGCUGCCCGAGAGCGUCUUCGCCUCCCUUCAGCCGCGGCGCAGACACCCAACCGGCCCACGGAGCCCGCCGUCCUCCCCUCAUGCCCGAAUCGGGGACUCCUUCAGCUUCUACUUUGUUACCAGGACUUCCUACCGCCCUCAGGCUUGGGAGCGCCUCCUCGACCCCCACCCCCCACCCCCCAACCGCUUUCUUGAGUCCCUAGCCCCACUCACCUCGACAGCGCGGCAGCCAGGCGCCUUCUUAAGCUUCUUCAGCUUCCAGCUUGGCUAUCCCGGGGGACUUACUGCCAAUCACCCAAUCUCCGCCCCAAAUCCGGACCAGACUGACCAAUCAGCUGCUUCCUCCGGCCCGGAGGCCGGUACUGAGAGCCCGGAGGGAAGGAAGACGACACCGAUACUCCUAGCCAUACUAUAUGCCAUCUCACAGAGGGCCUAUGGAUGUGUCUCAUGGCACCUGGCACCAGAAGUAUGUGGCUGGUGGAGGAGAAAGGGUGCAAAAUGUGUUGAGCCAGAAAGUAGGGGAAGAUCUUCCAGUCAUCAUACUUGACAUUAUAAUCAGGAUCCAAUCCAAGAUGCCACAUUGCAUUUAAUCAUCAUGCCUCCUUGCUUAGACUCCUGGUCUGUGACAGUUUCUUAGUAUUUCCUUGUUUUUCAUAAUCUUGAUAUGACCAUGACAGUUUUGAGGAGUGUGGUCAGAUAUAUUAUAAAAUAGGCCUUGAUUUUGAAUUUGUCUGCUAUUUUUCUCAUGAUUAGACUGGGGUUCUAAGGUUUGGGAGAAUAUCACACAUUGAGAUGCCCUUUUCAUCACAUCAUUUCAGGGGGUACAUAAUAUUAGCAUGAUUUAUUUCUGCUGAUGUUAACUUGACCAUGGUAAUGUUUGCUAGUUUCUCCACUGUAAAGUUGCAUUUUUUACCCUCUUUCCAUAUUCUCUUCUUUGGAAGCAAGUCACUAAAUGCUACCCACCCUCAAGUGUCAUAAGAGAUUAAGCUUCAACUCUUGGAGAGGAAUAUCUACAUAAAUAACUUAUAAUUCUUCUCUAAGUAAGAUUUGUUUCUUCUGCCCAUUUACUUAUUUAUAUUCAUUUAUUCAUAAAGUAUCAUGUAUAUUUAUUUUAUAUUUUGUUUAUAUUUUAUAUAUACAACCUCUCAGUGGGCAAAGCUAGGAAUAUAUUAUCACAUUGUUUUUUAAUUCUUUGUUUACAUCUCUAUGAUAGGUAACCUCUAAAACGGCCCCCAAUGAUCCUUGCCUCCUGGUAUUCACACCCUUAUGCAAUCCCCUGUUAAAGAGGGUGGGUUUGACCUAGUGACCUCCUUCUAAUGAAUCAAAUACAAGAGUGAUAGGAUGGCAAUUAAAAGAUUAGGUUAAAAAGAGUGUGGCUUUCAUCUUGCUUGGUCUCUCUUGGUCUCUCCUUUGCUCUCUCUGAGAGAAGCCAUCUGCCAUAUUGUGAGCUGCCCUAUGGACAGACUUAUGUGGCAAGAAACUGAGGGAGGCCUCUGGCCAUCAGCCAGCAAGCAGCUGAGGCCCUCUUUUCAUCAGCCUCUGAGAAACUGAAUCCUGCUAACAGACAUGUGAGUGAACUUGGCAAAAGAUCCUCUCCCAGUUGAGCCUUGAGAUGACAGGAGCUCCAUUGAUACCUUGAUUGCAGUCUUGUGAAAGACCCUGAACCAGAGACCCUGAGCUAAGGCACACAUGGAUUCUGCAUGCACAGAAACUAUGAGAUAAUAAACGAUUAUUGUGUUAAGCUGCUAAGUUUUGGAGUGAUUCAUUAGGAAGCAAUAAAUCAUACAAUUUCCGUCUUCUCUGCAAGAUUGAUGGUUCUGAAACUCCACUUUGGAGAGUAUGUUUAAAAAUAUAUAUACC